GAAAUUCAGCUUGGUUGGGAAGUCCAGCAGUGGUCCUUCAAAGGAAGCCUCACUGAUCCACCGUUCAAUGCCAGCCCAUGAAGACAGUGCCUCAAUCUGCAGGCCAGCUACAGCUCUAGACUUGGAUCCAGCAACUGGCAAGAGGAAACAAGAACCAGCAUUUCAUUAGAAGGAGACUUUGUCCAAUGAUUCAUAUUUCAUGAAUACUCGUGAGUGAGCAUGUCCUGUGAAAUAACCAAUUAAUUCAGCCAUGUUAAGACUCAGGCUGAAAACUGAAAGCCAUACCACUUCAUUUACAGAAGCCUAGCAAGGCAUGAGGCUCAAAUUUUCCUACUGUUUAAAAUGUUCCCAAACAACAUUUUGAUCCACAUCCCUUGGUUCACUUUGCUUUUUACUUUCUCAGCUUUCCUGACAGCUUCUUCUGUGUAUAUUGUUCUAAGUGACUAUUGUACUGUGCUCUUCACAGCUCAGGGUGUUUCAAGACACAAUGCCUGUUUUUCUUUAAAUGGUUUUUGGUGGUGGUGGUUUUGACAGCAUCACAGAUUCAAGUUACAAGUGACCAAAGGGCUGGAGGGGGAAGGCAUAGCCUGCAAUAAUGAUGUGCAAAUUGUGUUAAUUUCAUAGUGGGAUCCUGCUUUUUGAUAGGAUUUAAUGCGUAAUGAGCUCCUGAGACAUUAUUUUUGCUUCAAAGCUUUGCUGAGUACUAGAUCCUAUUAAAUUUUUGCAGUGAACACACCAAAAAAUACUUUGAGCUAAUUUUAAUAGUUUUUAAUUGAAGGAAUAUUUUUAUUCCAAUUUGAAUUUUCAAGCUGUUUAAAAGUUAACACAUUCUCAAAGUAUUCAUCAGUCUUUCCCUUCCCUAAUGUCUCUUUUUAGGCAGACUUUGGCUUUUGGGGGGCUUUGUUUUGUCCUGGAUUUGUGUUUCAGACCAAUGAAAAUAAAUUUAGACUUUUUCUGUUA